GUAGGUAUGUUUGUGGACAGCAUUCAGCACCAAGGGCAGGAAUGUUUGUGUAUGGAUGGUGUUUAGCACCAAGGACAGGUAUGUUUGUGU
rnacentral:pre_miRNA from 1 species